rnacentral:rRNA from 1 species
CAGCAGCCGCGGGAACACGGAGGGUGCGAGCGUUGUCCGGAUUUAUUGGGUUUAAAGGGUGCGUAGGUGGCUUUAUAAGUCAGUGGUGAAAUACGGUUGCUCAACAAUCGAGGUGCCAUUGAUACUGUAGAGCUUGAAAUAAUUGGAGGCUGCCGGAAUGGAUGGUGUAGCGGUGAAAUGCAUAGAUAUCAUCCAGAACACCGAUUGCGAAGGCAGGUGGCUACGAUUUGUUUGACACUGAGGCACGAAAGCAUGGGGAGCAAACAGGAUUAGAUACCCCAGUAGUCCCUGUCUCUUAUAC